rnacentral:tRNA from 1 species
AAAAAAUUUAGUUAAAAUAUAACAUUAGCUUGUCAAGCUAAAUUAACUAUUAUAGUAAUUUUUUA